rnacentral:lncRNA from 1 species
UUUAACUUGCUAUUUAAAAAAUAUAUGUUUAUUGUUUUGUUUCUAGGGAGGCCAAACUUCCAGAAAAUUGGAGUAUUAUAGUCUCUUUGCUUGAUCAAUGGGAGUCCCUGUCCAAGGAGCAGGAGGAAACAGGUCUACGGACAGAAUCAUGGAUCUGGAAUUAAGAGAACUACAUUUGUUCUGAGUUUCACUAUAAUACUGAUUGACAUCUUGUGACACCGAUCAAGAACUACCAUCUUAUUAUAGGCACUACCACGUUUUGGACAACUUUAAUAAGAGCUGAACUAGUCUUUCUAUCCCUAGACUUUUCUUGUUUCAGCCCAUCAUAACAUAUAGUCAGGCAAGUCUUUUUCAAAUGCUAUUUUCAUUGUAACACUUCCCUGCUUACGGAC